GUAAGAGAGCAGAAGAGAUUGUCUACAGGGUUCCAUUGUACAUUAUAGGGACAGAUAUUGGAGAAAAAUUGGUUAUAGACAUGGUAAUGGACUCAUUUUCAUGUGAGCUCAUAAAUCUUCUCUAGGGCUGCCUUUAAAUCUUGACCACAAAUUUGCCACGAAGUAGUGGCAAUGUGAUAUGAAGAAUGUAGUAAAUGGGAUGCUCUGAAAAGUUGAUUCAUUUUGAACACCAAGCUAAAGGAAAUAUACUAUGUGCUAAGUCGCUUCAGUCAUGUCCGACUCUUUGCAACCCCAUGGACUGUAGCCUGCCAGGCUCCUCUGUUCAUGGGAUUCUCCAGGCAAGAAUACUGGAGUGGGUUGCCAUGCCACCAUGCCAUGCCACCAUGGAGGGGAUCUUCCUGACCCAGGGAUCUAACCUGUGUCUCUUACAUCUGCUGCAUUGGAAGGUGGGUUCUUUACAACUAGUGCCACCUGAGAAGCUCAGAUAUACUAUAAAUACACACACACACACACACAUGCACACACCAUGUGCAAUAUUUUUUGUUUAGAAAAUAUCCAUAUAUUUGAGGUAAAUUAAAUAUCUUCAUGCAGUUGACAAUCACUUAAGAAUAAUACAUAAUAAACCUAGCAAAUAAAAUCCAUAUUAAUCAGAAUAUAUGGUUUAGUUUAGAGGACAGGAUACUGUUAAACACCAAAGUGAGACAACAGAAUUCUUUAUGAAGAAAGUCUUGAUUCAAGUAAGCAAAUAAUGUUGAUGCUUUAUCCAAGAUAGAAUUAGGUUCAAAUUUCUUGUUUUUGUGAUGAUCUCUAACAAGUCUUUCUAUAAUUUGGUAUUUUCUUCAUCCUUUUCUCUCUUCACAUGUUAUCUUGACUUACAUCCUGAUAUUGGUGAUAAAUACACUUUGAAUGCUUGCAUUCUGUCUUCUUGAUCAGCAGAUUUCUUUAAUAUAAUCUCAUUUUCCAAAGGCCAGGUAAGUUGUCCUAUCAUUAAAAUGUCUUUUGAUUUCUAAAGAUAAUUCAUCCUAAUUUGAAAAUCCUUCUCAACUGCUCAGAAACUCAAGGGUAGACUAAAUUGGCAGUAACUGAAGAAAAAAAAUGUGUGAAUAUUAAACUCAGCUAAAGACAAUCUGGGAUUUAGGGGUGAAGGCAGAACUGGAAGUGGGGGCAGAGGAAGGGGAUAAUUAAAACCACUUUGAUUAAAUUCAGCAUAUUGAAAUAUUUCAGCAAAAUAAGAAUGAUCAUUCAUGCCCCGAGGGAAAAUUGCCAUUCCAUUCUGGAUGGAAUUCCUAUUUUUGAGAACUGCAAAUUUGCUAAAGUAGUAGAUUCAUCCAAAAUUAGCUUGUAAAAUGCUUGCAAUAAGCAACAACUCCAAAUCAUGGUUGAAUGGCGUUUUGUUCAGAUAUUUCAUGAUGAAAUAUCUCAUGUAGGUUUAAGCACAAUUAUGAAAAUGUCUUCUAUUUCUUCAGGGUUUUAUUACCACAUUUUGUAAAUUAAUAUCAUAUACUGUGCUAAUAUUAGCCAAAAAUAAAAUACCUCUAGGCCUGGCAAGGAUAUGCAGCUUCUUUACUUGAGAACCAAGGGAGGCUGUCCCUAAAAGUGUGUAAGAUUUUUCAUUCAGUGAAACUUUGUUAACGUCAUGGUUGGUCACCAGGCUCAUAACUUAUCUCAGCAAGUCGAAUGAGAACUAUUUAUUAAAUGAUGGUAGUGUGCAAAAUCCUGUAUGAUAAUGAUUGAAUGACACAAUAUUAGUUUAAUAAAAAAGAAAAGAAAAAAAAUUGUAGUACAGGGUGACAUGUAAUAAGCGGUCAGUAGUGAUUAAUUCCUUUCCUUAUUUUUAAUGCGGAAGGGAGGUUAGGAUAAAGAGAAGUAGGAAGAAGUUAAGUGGUAUUCAAGGAAAGGCCCCAUGGUUUGAGGUGUUCUCAGGGUCAAGGAAGGGGUUACACUGAUUUGCACUCUUCCUUUCAGAUCUAUGGGUAAAUCAAGGUGCAGGUCCACACUAUAGCCAGUUUGCCUUAGCGGUAUAGUGAAAGCAAAGAUUGACCUUUCUCAUGGGAGCUGAGUCCACAGUCUUGUCCUCUCUAGACAUUAUUCCAGUAAAAUAUAAGAGCAAUAUCGAAGAGUGGUGGGUUUAGAAAUUAUGUUUAACUUUAACCCUUUGAUGGAGACAUCAGUGUAAUCCUCUCUUUCUUAAGAACUAUACCUAAGUGACCCACUGUUCUUUCAUUUGGAAGAAUCUGUUGGAAAAUUAUUAAGGUUAUUUUGACAUUUAUAUAGUUCAAGGUAAAUCCCCAGUAGGGUUAUAAACCACAGGUAUUUUUCAAACCUACAUAGCCCCCUGACCUUUAAAUAGUCCCAAGGCGCCCUAGGCCACCUUGAAGUUAGAAUCCAACCCGAGCAUCUGAGAAGUUCUCGAUCUUUUCCUGCCUUGCUAAGUCGCUUCAGCAGUGUCCAACUCUGUGCGACCCCAUCCAAAAGCAGGGAGUCAGGUCCUCUGGUCUCUAGUGGGAUUGAAUCUACUGAGCGAAGGGGCUUUGUAAACAAUGGAAUUAGUGCCCCAACAAUAAAAACUUUGAUUUAUUUCUCCUCUAUAGAUAUGGUGAAUUUGGUACUGUGAUGGAUCACGAAGAGAGAGCCUUUUCUCUUUCUCCUUGAAUUGAGUUCAUCUUGAUAUAUUUUGGUGACACAAUGUGGUGGAAGUCAUGCUGUGUAAUGAUGCCUCUUGGAACUCUGUAAGAAGCCCAAGAAACAUGAAGAGAUCUUGUGGAGGAGAACCCAGGUGCUCAGUCACAGACCCCAGCUGAGCUUCCAGCGGCGUGUGAGGGAGCCAUCUUGGAUUCCCGCCCAGGCCAGUCCCUGGAGUGCAGCCCCAGCUGACAGCAUGUGCAGUGGAGGAACCGCUUAGCUGAGGCAAUCAACUCACAGUAUCUUUAGGGAAAAAAUGAUGACUGUGGUUGUUCUAAACACUGAGUUUGGAGUGCUCUGCUAUGUAUCAAAACCCAUACAGACAUGAAUACUCUACAAGUUUGCUUUGCGUCCAAUGGCAUUGAUUUGUAAGAUGGCUGGCAGUGGAAUAGCUAUGUUUUUGAAAUAUUUUUUCUCAAAUGUAAUUGCUGAGAGUGGAUAAAAAUCAAAGUUGGGGCCAUGAUGGGAAGAGCUCCACGCAUACUUAAAUCACUGGAAAGGGGUGAAUACGAAUGCUUUGCAGACAGUGAGUGCUGCUGGGGAAGAGGUGUCUGUGUGGGGGAGGGCUGCGGCAGUAUUAUGUGGUCACUGUUAUGGCUAGUAUGCUCUGGGCGAAGUUCCUGGACUUCAAGCUUCUGCCCAGAUUUUUUUGAGUUGCCUGAGUAGAUCUUCAUUCUUUUAUUAUUUUCAUAUUGAAUUAGAAGCUCUUUUACAUAAAUGUAAUUUUCUUCAGCAUCUGUUGAUUUUUUUGGACCGUGAAAUUUAGCAGGAUAUUAAAAGCAUGAAGACUUACAUGGCAUAAUGCUGAGUUAUGCAAGUUUGAAAUAAAACUUUAUCUAAUUCUAUCACAGAAGUCUGUGUUUUAGAAGCAUAAGGCCUGCCAAACUCACAUAUCUUACAUUUACAUUUGUGAAUGCCACCUCAUUCUCCUCCCAAGAUGCUUCUUUGGGCACCAGUGUGGUGGGCCAGCAGAAAAUGCAUUUGCCAAGAGCCUGGGUCAGGUGCCAGCCUCUUUUGGGCUCCUCUGAUAGCCAUGUCCCUUCUGGAGAGGACAGGUUGCCAAGGAAGUAGCAGAAGUCAGAACUGAGUCAAGGUCAGGAGACAAUGGACAUGGAAUCAACUCUAGUGGAAACGGGCAGAGUUUACCAUGGGAUGCAGACAUUAGGUACAAGGCCAAGAAUUUGACCAGAACUAUUCAGGCUGGUAUUGAUUUUUAGGUCCCUGAGUUUCCUAUUUAUUCUAUGAUGAAGCAGUUAAAUUCUGGGAGAAGAAAUGGGCUAGAAAGUGUAUGAGGUUAUUUUUGUGCCUACUUAGAAGUAAAAAGCCAGAUCUCAAUUAAGAGUGCUUGGCUUUUGAGCAUUGAGCCAAGAGGACUGAUGCUAAAGUACUGGGUGGAUAAAACAGGUAAUAAAGGGAGGUGUGAUGUGUUAGACCAAAGAAAGUAGGUGGAAACCAAGAAUGCAACCAGUCAUGAAGGGAUGGCAAUAGAGAGACAGAGAGUUCAGGUUUGGGAAGCAGAACUUAGAAAGAUUCCUGGAUGCAAAUUGGUACAAAUCCUGGAAGAUUUUAAAGUAUUAUCUAUAGUCAAAUCAUGUGGGAAAGCAGGGAGCAACAAUAAGCAUCAGAAAGAUUAUUGGAUUGAGAAUCAAAAAGGCUGUAAUAUAAACCUAGUAUCAGUUCAGUUCAGUCGCUCAGUCGUGUCUGACUCUUUGCAACCCCAUGAAUUGCAGCACGCCAGGCCUCCCUGUUCAUCACCAACUCCUGGAGUUCACUCAAACUCACGUCCAUCAAGUCGGUGAUGCCAUCCAGCCAUCUCAUCCUCUGUCGUCCCCGUCUCCUCCUGUUCGUGAUCCCUCUCAGCAUCAGAGUCUUUUCCAAUGAGUCAACUCUUCGCAUGAGGUGACCAAAGUACUGAGUUUCGGCUUUAUCAUCAUUCCUUCCAAAGAACACCCAGGGCUGAUCUCCUUUAGA
ensembl:lincRNA